AUACGGAGGGUGCGAGCGUUGUUCGGAAUUACUGGGCGUAAAGAGCUUGUAGGCGGCCUGUUAAGUCUGAUGUGAAAACCCUCGGCUCAACCGAGGAAGUGCAUCGGAUACUGGCAGGCUUGAGUAUGGGAGAGGAGAGCGGAAUUCCCGGUGUAGAGGUGAAAUUCGUAGAUAUCGGGAGGAACACCAGUGGCGAAGGCGGCUCUCUGGAACGUCUCUGACGCUGAGGUGCGAAAGCGUGGGGAGCAAACAGGAUUAGAUACCCCAGUAGUCC
rnacentral:rRNA from 1 species